rnacentral:tRNA from 1 species
CAGGGAGACAACAAAAUGUUUAAUAUUAUUAUUUUGUCACCUUAGGUCGAUCGGUAUCUCACGUUUUUAAUUUAUUAAGAAUUUCAUUUCCUAAGUUUUUCUAGGUCACACCCAUUAUUUUUCCUGGGCCAUUAGCUCAGGUGGUUAGAGCGCACCCCUGAUAAGGGUGAGGUCCCUGGUUCAAGUCCAGGAUGGCCCAUAUCUCUAUGUUGGGGGUAUAGCUCAGUUGGUAGAGCGCCUGCUUUGCAAGCAGGAUGUCAGCGGUUCGAGUCCGCUUACCUCCACUGAUUACCACCUCUUCCAUAAUCUGUAGAAAGGAAAUGUUUUGAGUUGUGAUCAAAUUCUGAACGAAUCUAGCUUCCUAAUAAAAUCAUUAAGAUGCUGGACUCAUUGAAUUAAUUUCAUUGUUUUCAGAGAACCUUGACAACUGCAUAGAUUAUUUUUAAAGACAAUAAGCAUCUUUAAUGAUGCAGAUUUUUUAUUGGUGCAAAUGCAUUAAUAACAAUUCUAUUAAGCUGAUGCUUCAAUUUUGAAGUUAUU